rnacentral:rRNA from 1 species
CGGCGGACGGGUGAGUAAUGCCUAGGAAUCUGCCUGGUAGUGGGGGACAACGUUUCGAAAGGAACGCUAAUACCGCAUACGUCCUACGGGAGAAAGCAGGGGACCUUCGGGCCUUGCGCUAUCAGAUGAGCCUAGGUCGGAUUAGCUAGUUGGUGGGGUAAUGGCUCACCAAGGCGACGAUCCGUAACUGGUCUGAGAGGAUGAUCAGUCACACUGGAACUGAGACACGGUCCAGACUCCUACGGGAGGCAGCAGUGGGGAAUAUUGGACAAUGGGCGAAAGCCUGAUCCAGCCAUGCCGCGUGUGUGAAGAAGGUCUUCGGAUUGUAAAGCACUUUAAGUUGGGAGGAAGGGCAGUAAGUUAAUACCUUGCUGUUUUGACGUUACCGACAGAAUAAGCACCGGCUAACUCUGUGCCAGCAGCCGCGGUAAUACAGAGGGUGCAAGCGUUAAUCGGAAUUACUGGGCGUAAAGCGCGCGUAGGUGGUUCGUUAAGUUGGAUGUGAAAGCCCCGGGCUCAACCUGGGAACUGCAUCCAAAACUGGCGAGCUAGAGUACGGUAGAGGGUGGUGGAAUUUCCUGUGUAGCGGUGAAAUGCGUAGAUAUAGGAAGGAACACCAGUGGCGAAGGCGACCACCUGGACUGAUACUGACACUGAGGUGCGAAAGCGUGGGGAGCAAACAGGAUUAGAUACCUGGUAGUCCACGCCGUAAACGAUGUCAACUAGCCGUUAGGAAUCCUUGAGAUUUUAGUGGCGCA